GACUGCAAAAAGAACAUGGCCUAUGUCACACAUUCUACACAAUGGCUCAUGAAAUUUUCAAAUUUACUGAAUUUUUAGAAAAAAAAAUCAAAUUGACCUUUGUAAAAUAACACAUUUGACCCCUAUAAAAAAAUUUAAUAACACAAUUAACCUCUUAAUUUUUUUUUGACCCUCAUAAACUGAUUUCCUAGCUCCGCCACUGAUUCUACACAUUCAUCUCAUCUACACACGACCACAUCCAACACAUUCAUCUAUACCAUCCACGUCCACACGACCACAUCCUACACGUUCAUCUAUACCAUCCACAUCCAUCUAUAGCAUCCUCCACACCCACACCCUAUACAAUACAUAUUCUGAUAUUCAUCCCAGCUAUACACCCACGUUCUACCUAUAUCAUCCACAUCCUCACUAUCUCAUCUAAACACUUCACAUAUUUACCAGCCGUCACACUACGUCACACACACUACACUUAUUACAUCAUAUAAUUACUCUUACAAGCAUUCGUUGACACAUAAUCAAAGUAACACAUAAUCAAAGUAUGACACAUUUCUCUAAGGUUCAUAUCGACUUGUCUGUUCCAUAACAUUCUCUCCCACCAUCAUAUUACUCUCCGUCUCCAAACACCUUCCCAUCUAGGUCUUCCUUCCGUUAACACUUUCCCAUGUAGGUCUUUCCUCCAUUUGAGUUUGUGUUCUUCAUAAACAACAUCUG
rnacentral:lncRNA from 1 species